UCAUCCCUCGAACCAAACCAAGAUAUCCACGCCGGUGAAGGCGGGCGGUUUUUUCCGUGGUUUCACGGAGCUCUCAUCUUCGGGUCAGCAUUGUUCACCGCGGCGAUUUCAGAGGGACUCUUUGUCUCCUGGUCGACACUGUUCGUUACGGUGGUUUCAUGUGGCUUUUAUCUCUAGGUCGACAUUGUUUACAAUAGCGUUUCUUAUAUUUAUGUAUAGAGAAAGUAUGGUUUAGCUCUCGAUCAAAUAUUUUGGGAGUGAAUGUUUGAU
rnacentral:lncRNA from 1 species